AACGAACGCUGGCGGCAUGCUUAACACAUGCAAGUCGAACGAGACCUUCGGGUCUAGUGGCGCACGGGUGCGUAACGCGUGGGAAUCUGCCCUUAGGUACGGAAUAACUCAGAGAAAUUUGUGCUAAUACCGUAUGAUGUCGAAAGACCAAAGAUUUAUCGCCUAAGGAUGAGCCCGCGUAAGAUUAGCUUGUUGGUGAGGUAAAAGCUCACCAAGGCGACGAUCUUUAGCUGGUCUGAGAGGAUGAUCAGCCACACUGGGACUGAGACACGGCCCAGACUCUACGGGAGGCAGCAGUGGGGAAUAUUGGACAAUGGGCGAAAGCCUGAUCCAGCAAUGCCGCGUGAGUGAUGAAGGCCUUAGGGUUGUAAAGCUCUUUUACCAGGGAUGAUAAUGACAGUACCUGG
rnacentral:rRNA from 1 species